rnacentral:lncRNA from 1 species
GUAAGGCCGGAGAGCAGACUGCCUGCCUGAAGAAACUACAAGAGCAAGAAAGAUAUACAGCAAAAAGUGGAGUUUCAUAAAAGGAUGGAGAAAGAGGUGUCUGGUUUCAUCCAGGACAGUGAACAGAUCAAGAAAAAGUUUCAGCCUAUGAACAAGAAAGAGAGAGUGGAGCAUACUACAUGAUGUGGUAGAGGUAGCUGGCCUCACAUCCUUCUCCUUUGGAGAAGAUGAUGACUGUCACUAUACCAUGAUCUUCAAAAAAGGGUUUGCACCCUCAGAUGAAGGGCUAGACUGCUACCGUCAUAGAGAGGCAUGGGACCCCCCCAGAAGGCUGAGGAGAAGCAGAAGCUAAGGAGUUAGCUCAGAAGCAGGAGGAAGAUGCAGCGCAGCAGGGAACCACGGUUGUGAGUCUUCCAGCAACUACAGGACAAGUAUUGGCAAAGGAGCAGCCAAAGAUGCAGCCUACAUGCUACAGGCCAACAAGACCUAUGGCUGUGUGCCUGUGGCCAACAAGUGGGACACAUGCUCCAUAGAAGAGGCCAUGAAUGAGAUCAGAGCCAAAUAAUGUCUGCAGCAGAGUGGGGAAGAGUUGUCAACUACCUCC